CGCCGAGAACCUACAGGUGCCGACGAUCUUGCUUCCGUUAGCCUAGGCUUCUUCAACGUGAAGCCACAAGAACGCGUGUGAAUACAAGAUUGAAUCUUGAACAAAAUAAUAAAAUCACAAUAAUCGCAAGACCGAAAGCAAUGCGAAUGAAAAGUUAAAUGGUUUUUAAACCGAAAAUACACAAAAACCGCGAGAUUUAUCGUCCAAAUAAAAUGAUGCUGCUUACGAAACUGAUAAUCUAAUAAAUAAAAAAUUGCCCCACAAUUUUAGGAAACCAAACCAAAAAUCGAUAAUUCUUAAAGAAAAAAAGAUUAAUUAUAGAGGCUCAAGAAUAAUAUAUUGUAAUACAUGACGUGCAAAUAUCUAUUGUCAACAUCAAUCAUGUCACCUAGACCAAUAUGGAGUUGGUGUCCACCAAUGAAUAUCCUUCGAAAAAACCAUUUAUUAAAACUAUCAGGGCUUUGUGACUUAAUACCAUUCUUUGUAAUCUUUUUUUUGGCUCAACCUUGUUUAACGGAGGCGCAAAUUGAUAGCACAGUGAGUGAACAGGAAACCAAAUCUGUUACCCUUCCAUGUCCCGUUAAUGAAGGAAAAUGUGGAAAACUACAUUCAUUAAACUGGUUCAAAGGAGAAGACCGUAUUGCUGCAAUGCUCUUGGGGGAAACAAAUGUUACGAAUGUAAAUAAGGAAUACAAGAACAGGGUAACUGUUGAGCUAAAUCCAUACAGACUUAUAAUUAACGACUUAAAAAUUGGAGAUGAAGAUAUUUAUCUUUGUGAUACAACAUUUUUUAUACCAGAAGAAACAUGCGAUAACUUCAAUGGGUACCGAAUUGAACUACGAGUAUUAGUGCCACCAUCGGAAGUUAUAAUUUUGGAUGUGAAGGGCGACCGAAUUGAAAAUGGAAGUGUAGUGGGUCCAAUGCAAGAGCGUCAGUCUCUCAAAGCAGCUUGUACUGUAAAAAAUACACGUCCUCAGCCAGAUGUGGGAUGGUUUCGUGGAUCCAAGCGACUGACAACAUAUUCACCUACGCAUGACAUUAAAGAUGGUCUUUUUACGUCAACACUAGAAUUGGAUUGGUUAUUAUCACGUGAAGAUCUGGCUCAAGAUAUAGAAUGCCGUGUAAAGUCGGCAGCUAUGCCAGAAACUAUUGUUCAAAAAUUUAGUAUAAACUUGCAAGUGCGGCCAACGAGUAUUGAAAUGAAUGGUGUAGAGCAUCAUACGGUUCAAGGCAGCAAAGUGAUUUUAACUUGUGAUAUUCACGGAGCGCGGCCACCAGUUAACCUUACUUGGUAUAACAUUACAUCACCCAUAGCAACAGAGGAAAAUAUUGUUACCGAGAUUCGUACUAGAGCAUUUGAGAAAAACGAUGGUACAUAUCAUACUCAGUCUGAACUCAUUUUUAAUGCGACUCGUUUUGAGAAUGACCGAGUAUUUCGCUGUGAGGCUGAAAAUAUAGUGAUACAAAUUAAUCGAGAAAAGCCAAUCUCUUCCGCGCUCACAUUGGAAGUCUUAUAUCCUCCAGUUGUCAAAGUCAGCCCACCUGAGGUGGUUACCAAUACAAGUGAAAUCGUUUUACUUAAUUGUGAAUAUGUGGCAAACCCAGCGUCACUAACAAAUGUUGUAUGGUAUCGGAACAAUGAAGUCGUGAAUGUCAAUAAUACAGAUCGUUAUCAGGGGGGUAAUUCAGAGAAUGUGGCUCUCGUUAUCAAGUCUACCGAAAAAGAUGAUACAGGAAAUUAUUCGUGUCAGUUAUCAAAUUCUAUUGGAAAAGGAACUUCUGAGCAGGAAAUCAAUCUGGAUGUGCAGUAUGUUCCUACUGUGGAGGUUGUAAUGAUUCCCGAGGGCCCUGUAAAAGAAAGCGACGAGUCAAAUGUUACCCUGUUCUGUAAUAUACUGGAUGCUAACCCAUCAAUUCUAACCAAAGUGAGAUGGUACGCAAACUCAACACUACUUAAGGAACUUCCCGACUGCGAAGAAACUAAUGAAGACCUUUGCCAUAUUGAUCCAAGUAAACUAUUAUUGGAGAGUAUAGGACGCGGCUUUUUCUACAAUUAUUCUUGCGAGGGAUUGAAUUCUGCUGGCUGGGGACCACGAAGUGAAGAUAAGGAGCUUAUAGUACAUUAUGAACCAGGACCGGCUACACUUUCUAAUUUUCCCUUAAUCGCUGUAAAAAAAAAAAGCGUAGUAUUCACUUGUUCCGUAGAAGAUCCUGGAUAUCCAGACACAAAUAGGUUUGUAACUAAACAAGCCGAUCAGAAUAACAAUAAAAAGACAAUAUCAUACCCCAUACUUAUUACUUACCACACAGUUAAAGCAUUGCAAUCUAAUGAAGCUGACAUUGCUUUAGAAUCUUUUCUUUUGCAAAAAAUACCGCGACAAUUAAAUGCACCAUCGGAAGACUUAUCACAAACGUUGCUAUCGAGUGAAUCCAGUCCAUUCAAUGAAAUUAAAGAAACACAUGCUUUAAUUGACUUGAAUUAUAAUAAUUCCCCAUGUACAUUACUCACGCUCACUACAUACAUGAAAAAAUCACAACUAGUAGUCCUUUACACGGGACUACAAUCAAAUCUUGUAUCAUCCACCUACGCCCUCUAUCGUAAAAUGGGAAAGUUUAAAUUCAAUGCUCAAAUGAUUUCAAAACCUAACAGAUAUCGUUGGCUACGCGGAGGACGCGGUCCGCUGCAGGACAUUGUUACAAAAGAUUGGACGGUGGAACCAGUAGGACUUGACAGUCGUACCAACUAUUCUUGCUAUGCUUACAAUGAAGGCGGUAAGGGAAUUAUGGCCACAGUUAAUCUAAAGGUGCACGCACCACCAUUUUUUAUCAAAAACUUACCGCCAUACACUGGAAUCUUGCAUUCUUCACCGAGUGCAAAUUUAACCUGCCGAAUCGAAUGUGUUCCACGAUGUGAAAUAUCAUGGCUUAAGGAUGGCAUCCCCAUUGAGAAAAAUAACACUAAAUACUUCGUAAAAGAAAAAUACAUGGAUCCAUCGCCGGCAACUGGAGAUUUUGAAAGCAUGUUAUCCGUGUUGCAUUUUAACAUGUCCAAUUGGAUACAAAAGAAAUUUGAUAUUGAGGCCGACAAUGAUAACUAUACAUGCCUAUCAACUUCAAAUUCGGUGGGCCCGAGCGUUAAGAGCACCACAUACUUUAGUAUCGAAUAUUCACCAAUCAAUACGACCGUUUCGGAAGAAAAUGUCUAUGUAGAAGAGGGUACUAUACCGGCACGGAUUUUAUGCAAAGCCAGAGCUAAUCCAGAACCUUCAUAUAAAUGGAUAUUUAAAAAUGAAACAAUAGCUAAUGGUAAUACCCUAAUUUUCGACUCUGGUUUACACCGAAACGAAAAUGGUAUAUAUACCUGUAUGGCGUAUAACAAACAUGGAAAUAAUACUGCAAACUCAAUUAUAAACGUGCAGUUUAAACCUGAUUGUGCCAUCAAAAGGGAAAAUAUAGAUGGUCAGGACACUCUAAUUUGUACUGCAUUUGGAAACCCUUUAGAGGCAGAUUUAACUUGGUCAAUUAAAGGUGAAAACGAAACCAUUGAGAAUUUGGGUAGUGGGUACCGCAACGAUCUUUCCGAUAAGAGUUUUUAUGUUUUGAAAGCGGAUUAUGGUAUCACAAGGACGUUCAGAUGUGUAGCCAAUAACACAGUUGGAUCAGGAACAUUUUGUGAAAUUGAAGUCGAUGUGAGACCUAAAAAGCAACUGGCUUGGUGGCAACAAUGGAAAAUAAACAAUAUUGUUCUACUUUUAACUGGAAUUUUAAUUUUAUUACUAAUUGUGGUAAUAAUUUGUUGCAUCAUUAUUUGUGUAUGCCGUCGUCGGCGUCGCCAGGAUAAAUGUUCCAACUGAACUAAAUCAAAAUGUUCCAUCAAAAUACGAAAAUGUAACAUCUACCGAUACAGGCGUAUCAUCGAUCUACGUUGAUAAUAUAGAUACCGAAGUAACUUCUUCAUCAUCAUAUUCUGAUAACAUACUUGAACGUCUAAUUUCCUAUAUUAAAAGAGCCAAAAGGCCUUCCCAAAUUUAUUCUCAGGAUAGUCAGCGUAGCCAAGUUUGUCUCUUGCGGACAAUUUGGCGGCGGCGUUUUUAUAAUGAGACCAAUUGCAAGUUUAGAGAUCAUCAUCGCCUUAAGGGUAUUCGUUGCAGUGGCAGUGUCACUUAUAAAAAAAAAAAAGAAUGUACGGAUUUAAGUAACAACUUCGCACACGAAGAAGCUUCAGUUAAAUCUAAUUCAAUGCGAAC
rnacentral:misc_RNA from 1 species